UAAAAAUAUUUUUGUCUCUCUUUCUUAUUAUUAUUAUUUUUUUUUUCGGUAUGCCAUCAGUGACGUAGCUAGGGAUUUAUGCGUCCCGAGAAAAGUUCAAAUUUUUUUAGCUACUUAGUCGAAUAUUCCUAUAGAAUACGCGUUUAUUUUAAAUUCUUCCCGCGAUGCAAAUCGUAGAGAUGUAAAGUGACUACCAAAUGUGCUCGAAAUUCAAAAUACACAUACAGUUAUAAUACGAUUUUCCUUUAAAAAUCCAAUAUCUAUUACAAAUAGAUAUAAAUUAUAAUUACAAUAUUUUGGGGCCAGAGGCAUUUGCCUUCCUCGAUGCUCUUUUAUUAUUUCAUGUUUCUCUCUAUGGAAACAAUUAUACUUCCAUCUCAUUUUUCCCCAGAGCUCUGUCUUUGUCGAACACUAUAACGGACCGUGUAGAUUUUUUUUCUGUGUCACGUAAUGUUUUCAGACAGAAUGUUUAUAAUGC